rnacentral:lncRNA from 1 species
UAUUAGUUUCAAUUAUAAUAUGUAAAUUUAACUAUUGAGGGUCUAUCUUAUCAAAAAAACAGCACGACAUUAUCAAUUUUGAUUGUGUGGUUUUUUUAAAUUUCUUUUUCAUAAGAAAAUAUUAAAGAUAUACAUAUAAACCAAUAGUAAUUAACUUCAAUUAUUUCAUUAGCCAUGUUAUCUACUAUGUAUCUAUUUAUUAUUAAAGUGUUUGUUUUGCCCUGAGAGUAUUUAAAAAAAAAUAGAUUUAAUAAGUAUUUAGUUUAUAUUAUAAUUUAUAUUGGAACUUAGGGAUUGUUGAACGUUCGACACGACUUGUCAGUUGUCAAUGGAUGCGCUGUGCCAAUAUGAAGAAAUAAAAUAUAGUUGAAACUAGAAAUUAUAGUAAAUAUUAAAUUAAUAAUUAUGAAUGAACACAUAAAAAAUAAAUUAUGAAAUGUGAAAAAUCCAAGCUGAAAGCUGAAGUGGGAGAUAUUUUUGUGCUGUUGGUGUCAAUCACAUCAAGGCAGGGAAUAUGUUCACUUCUCAUCCUUUCCGAAAAGAAAUCUAGACCAGGCUGAAUUACAUCAAUUAUUAUUGCAAAAAGCUGUCCAUAGGGAAAAUCAAGAUCGUUCCGACUGGUAUCAAGGACCUUAUGCCCUCAUAAAUAAUGGCGUCCACUUCAUAUCUAAUGAACCAAGUUUUAAUCAGAAUCAUCCAGACCAUGUUGCUAUUAUUUGUCCAACUUCUUACAGAUUAGUAAAGAUGGAAGCAGCUUUGCUACAUUAUGAACUCACUCACAACUGAGGUCAAGUUCCUCUUCUUGAGCUAAACAAAGAUGACAAACCCAUACAGUUCCUAAAGAAUUACUCGUAGACAACAAUGAAAUUGAAACCAAUCUAGAUCCUGGUCCCAAAACAAUUGCCAAAACUAAAGACAUUUCACAGUCUCACCAAGGAUUCUGCAACAUCGCCUUUAAAGAACGUGACGUCAAUGCAGCUUCACGUUUUCUUAAACGUAUUCAGUUUCUGAGCAGAAAUUCCGAGCUGCUAUUAGAAUAACUCGACUUCUUUUCUUCUUCAAAUACUGUAUCAAGUAGCUCAAUGACAAACUUUCAUGUAAAUUUGCCCUGAACAUAGAAGAACAGAUUGCUCUAUUUUGGAUGAAAUUGAGGACUAAUAAGUUGAGGAUUUAGUUCUUUCCUCAUUAAUAUAAUUUACCAUAUAUUCUUGAAACUAGCAGUGCAACUACAAUGUACUUAACGACAAUUGAAUUAUUGUCCAACUUUAUGUAUAAUUCCCAAGAAAAUAAUGAGACAUUUGUUUGCUUAGCGCAUUUUCCUGUUAUCUCAUGUUUUUUUCAUUAUAUAUGAACUUUUUGAACAUUGCAAUGAGAGCACAGUCUUUCCUUUUUUAUAGAAGAUCUCGGAUCAUAUCAUGCGCAAGUUAUGAUGGCAGAAAAUCCACUGUAGAUAACUGUCAUUUUUAAUUAUAUAUAAUAUAUAUUAAUUACACCGCUCCCACCAAUUAUAGCGUUGUCAUCCUAGAUAAAUAAUGAGCCGUGAUCAGAAGGAGUGAAGGAAAAUAACUUUAUAUUUACUAAAGAUUUAUCACUUGAUAUCCAACUAUUUUAUCUUGAAAUUGUAAACGGAUAUCAAUAAAAACAAAUUUCAGAUGGAUUCGAUAGAGUGACAAUUAUUAUACAACAAUGAGUCCCAUCUUUUAUUUA